UACGUAGGGUGCGAGCGUUAAUCGGAAUUACUGGGCGUAAAGGGCGCGUAGGCGGCAGAUCAAGUCAGCUGUGAAAUCUCCGAGCUUAACUCGGAACUGUCAGCUGAUACUGUUUUGCUAGAGUGCGGAAGGGGCAAUCGGAAUUCUUGGUGUAGCGGUGAAAUGCGUAGAUAUCAAGAGGAACACCUGAGGUGAAGACGGGUUGCUGGGCCGACACUGACGCUGAGUGCGCGAAAGCCAGGGGAGCAAACGGG
rnacentral:rRNA from 1 species